rnacentral:tRNA from 5 species
GGGGUAUUAGCUCAGUUGGCUAGAGCGCUUGCAUGGCAUGCAAGAGGUCAUCGGUUCGACUCCGAUAUGCUCCACAA